GCCGCGUGAGUGAUGAAGGUUUUCGGAUCGUAAAGCUCUGUUGUUAGGGAAGAACAAGUGCCGUUCAAAUAGGGCGGCACCUUGACGGUACCUAACCAGAAAGCCACGGCUAACUACGUGCCAGCAGCCGCGGUAAUACGUAGGUGGCAAGCGUUGUCCGGAAUUAUUGGGCGUAAAGGGCUCGCAGGCGGUUUCUUAAGUCUGAUGUGAAAGCCCCCGGCUCAACCGGGGAGGGUCAUUGGAAACUGGGGAACUUGAGUGCAGAAGAGGAGAGUGGAAUUCCACGUGUAGCGGUGAAAUGCGUAGAGAUGUGGAGGAACACCAGUGGCGAAGGCGACUCUCUGGUCUGUAACUGACGCUGAGGAGCGAAAGCGUGGGGAGCGAACAGGAUUAGAUACCCUGGUAGUCCACGCCGUAAACGAUGAGUGCUAAGUGUUAGGGGGUUUCCGCCCCUUAGUGCUGCAGCUAACGCAUUAAGCACUCCGCCUGGGGAGUACGGUCGCAAGACUGAAACUCAAAGGAAUUGACGGGGGCCCGCACAAGCGGUGGAGCAUGUGGUUUAAUUCGAAGCAACGCGAAGAACCUUACCAGGUCUUGACAUCCUCUGACAAUCCUAGAGAUAGGACGUCCCCUUCGGGGGCAGAGUGACAGGUGGUGCAUGGUUGUCGUCAGCUCGUGUCGUGAGAUGUUGGGGUUAAGUCCCGCAACGAGCGCAACCCUUGAUCUUAGUUGCCAGCAUUCAGUUGGGCACUCUAAGGUGACUGCCGGUGACAAACCGGGAGGAAGGGUGGGGGAUGACGUCAAAUCAUCAUGCCCCUUAUGACCCUGGGCUACACACGUGCUACAUGGACAGAACAAAGGCAG
rnacentral:rRNA from 1 species